UGAAUAUAGUUUAUUAAAAUUCUAGUCUGUGAA
rnacentral:tRNA from 1 species